AACGAACGCUGGCGGCAGGCCUAACACAUGCAAGUCGAACGAACCUUCGGGUGAGUGGCGCACGGGUGCGUAACACGUGGGAAUAUACCCUUGAGUAUGGAAUAACUGCUGGAAACGGUAGCUAAUACCUUAUAAUGACUCCGGUCCAAAGAUUUAUCGCUCAAGGAUUAGCCCGCGUCUGAUUAGAUAGUUGGUGGGGUAACGGCCUACCAAGUCGACGAUCAGUAGGGGGUCUGAGAGGAUGAUCCCCCACACUGGGACUGAGACACGACCCAGACUCCUACGGGAGGCAGCAGUGAGGAAUAUUGGACAAUGGAGGCAACUCUGAUCCAGCCAUGCCGCGUGAGUGAAGAAGGCCUUAGGGUUGUAAAGCUCUUUCAAUUGUGAAGAUAAUGACGGUAGCAAUAGAAGAAGCCCCGGCUAAAUUCG
rnacentral:rRNA from 1 species